rnacentral:tRNA from 1 species
GCCGUCGUAGCUCAACGGAGAGAGCAGCCGUCCUCUAAACGGCCCGGUGCGCGUUCGAUUCGCGCCGGCGGCACCA